rnacentral:rRNA from 1 species
CUGCCAGACUCCUACGGGAGGCAGCAGUCGGGAAUAUUGCGCAAUGGAGGAAACUCUGACGCAGUGACGCCGCGUAUAGGAAGAAGGUCUUCGGAUUGUAAACUAUUGUCGUUAGGGAAGAAAAAGGACAGUACCUAAGGAGGAAGCUCCGGCUAACUACGUGCCAGCAGCCGCGGUAAUACGUAGGGGGCGAGCGUUAUCCGGAUUCACUGGGUGUAAAGGGAGCGUAGACGGCCAAGCAAGCCAGGGGUGAAAGCCCGGGGCCCAACCCCGGGACUGCCCUUGGAACUGCACGGCUGGAGUGCGGGAGGGGCAGGCGGAAUUCCUGGUGUAGCGGUGAAAUGCGUAGAUAUCAGGAGGAACACCGGCGGCGAAGGCGGCCUGCUGGACCGCGACUGACGUUGAGGCUCGAAAGCGUGGGGAGCGAACAGGAUUAGAUACCCGAGUA